CGGCCAAAUCACGUUAAAACAUCAGUUCCCGUACGAUCACCGAAGUUAAGCAACGUAUAGCCUGAUCAAUAACUAGAUGGGUGAACGCUGGCGGAUACCAGGUGUUGUAAG